GUGGCGUAGUGCGAAGAGACGCGGUGCGCACGCGCGUGAGGGAUGUCGCGGAUGCAAAUAGUACGGUAUUCCGAACAGACACUAAAAAUAGCUGUCAUCUCAAAGAAUCCAGUGCUUGUGUCACAGUAUGAGAAAGUAGAUGCUGGGGAACAGCGUUUAAUGAAUGAAGCAUUCCAGCCAGCCAGUGAUCUCUUUGGACCUUGCAUUCUCCAUCAGAUUGGAUCACCUCCCACCCUGAGGCCCCCCAAGACUUUGAACAGUUCUUCAGUCAUCCUUACAGAAAGAUACCCUCUCCAGACAAACGCAGUAUUUAUAUACGGUCCAUUGGUAAAUACUGGAUCUCUAUGAAGCACCAGAAUUAUCAGUGAAGAAUAUAUUAAAUGGCUCACGGGCUACUGUAAAGCAUAUUUCUAUCGCUUGAGAGUAAAACUGCUAGAACCAGUUCCUGUUUCUACAACAAGGUGUUCCUUUAGAGUCAAUGAGAACACACAAAACCUACAAAUUCAUGCAGGGGACAUCCUGAAGUUCUUGAAAAAGAAGAAACCUGAAGAUGCCUUCUGUGUUGUGGGAAUAACAAUGAUUGAUCUUUACCCAAGAGACUUGUGGAAUUUUGUCUUUGGACAGGCCUCUUUGACAGAUGGCACUGGUGAGGUGGAUUGAUGAUGAAUCUUCUGGCACACCUGGAGCAACUCCAGAACACAGUCGUGAGGAUAAUGGGAAUUUACUGAAACCCGUGGAAGGAAGCCUUUAAGGAAUGGAAAGAGUGGAUAAUAAAAUGCCUGACUGUUCUCCAAAAAUAAGGACCUUCAAAUAGGAGUGAUUGAAAUAAAUGACUACUUGCAUGUUAUGCUUUCAUUUGGGUGGAAUACUUCAUCAGAAUAAACUAUUGAUCUUGUGCUGUGUCAAAGUAACAGACUAGAACCUUCUUUCAAGUACCUGAAUUGAAAUGAAACUCAUUUUGAAUAAUAAAAACUCUAGAAACUCUUUAUCUUCUCA
ensembl:lncRNA AMZ2P1 AMZ2 pseudogene 1